UACCAGAUGAAUAAGCACCGGCUAACUCCGUGCCAGCAGCCGCGGUAAUACGGAGGGUGCAAGCGUUAUCCGGAUUCACUGGGUUUAAAGGGUGCGUAGGCGGGCAGGUAAGUCAGUGGUGAAAUCCUGGAGCUCAACUCCAGAACUGCCAUUGAUACUAUCUGUCUUGAAUAUUGUGGAGGUAAGCGGAAUAUGUCAUGUAGCGGUGAAAUGCUUAGAUAUGACAUAGAACACCCAUUGCGAAGGCAGCUUACUACGCAUAUAUUGACGCUGAGGCACGAAAGCGUGGGGAUCAAACAGGAUUAGAUACCCUGGUAGG
rnacentral:rRNA from 1 species